UUUUGAAAAUAAAAAUGUUGGCGGGAUAGGCCAUGAAUAGAAAAAUUUGAACCUGCAAAAUCAGUAAGCAAAUAAAGGAAGCUUCUUCGUUCCCUGUGAAAAUAUUUCUCAUGCACGUCUAUAUACAUAUCUGAUAUACAUAAAACCUGUCGGAAGCAAGAACCAUUUUUCCUUGCUAGUUUUUGAUUUUCGGAGUUGAUGAUGAUGGGCGAUGAGAGGAUGGAGGUAGCCUUCUUCGAUGUUGAAACUACUGUACCGACCCGACCCGGACAAGGAUUUGCGAUCUUAGAGUUUGGGGCUAUUCUUGUUUGUCCAAGGAAGCUCGUCGAGCAAGAGACUUAUUCUACUCUCGUACGACCCACUGAUCUCUCCCUCAUUCCCACCCUCUCUGUUCGCUGUAACGGCAUUAACCCGGAAGCAAUCACAUCUGCUCCCACCUUCGCUGAAAUCGCUGAAAAAGUCUAUGAAAUUCUCCAUGGGAGAAUAUGGGCAGGCCACAAUAUACUGAAAUUCGAUUGUCACAGGAUACGGGAAGCAUUUGCUGGGAUUAAUAAGCCAGCACCAGAGCCUAAAGGAAUUAUUGAUACAUUGGCCUUAUUGACUCAGAGAUUUGGAAGGAGAGCUGGUGACAUGAAGCUGGCCUCUCUUGCUACUUAUUUUGGCCUUGGACAGCAAUUACAUAGGAGUUUGGAUGAUGUCCGAAUGAAUCUUGAAGUGCUGAAGUACUGUGCAACUGUCUUGUUUAUGGAAUCCAGCCUGCCAGACAUAUUUACAGAGAAUAGCUGGGUGUCUCCUAAUGCUAUUACAAGAAGUCGAACAAUUGGGAGAGCUACUCCAGAGAAGACUGGCGUCAGUGCAGAUACACCCUCACCAAGCACCAAGAUAGAAAGUCAUGUUGAAUCUACAGCAGAAAUCAAUCCUUUUAACAUGGACAAAUUGGAAGAAUCCCUUCUGUCAGAAGUCAUGGAAGAUGAAUCUGGUUCAUAUUCUCCAGGAUCUUCCACAACUGCAACUGAGAACUUCAUUGGCUGGACUGACUUCUUAGAACCAAAUGAAAUCUCCGUACCUUCUGUCUCAGUAAGUCUUAUCCCUUUUUAUCGUGGGUCUCAGAAGAUACAAGUAUUGCACGACUAUGGUGAACUACUAGUUUGUUGUAGACGAAUGAAGGUGCGGUUUGAUAUUAGUAAGAAGUAUGUCAAUAAAGUUGGUUGGCCACGACUGAGUUUUGUGGUUGAUGCAUCAUCGGACCUGUGCAAAAUCUUGGAUGUAGUUGAUGAUCGGGCUCAAAAGCUAUCUGUGGACUCAGGUAGCAGCUCAGAGUGGAGGCCUGUGGUCACUAGAAAGCCUGCAUUUAUGAACUAUCCUACUGUCCGUUUAAAUUUACCAACUGUUAUAGAUGGCAAUAUUUUCCGUUGGAUCACGGAGAUAUACCAGAAAGAAUCUUCCACAACAGAGAAGCUCGUGAUCUUUAGUAGAUUUGAUGUGGAAGAACUGGAAUCCUUGAUAACAGCGGGAACAUUCGUGGACGCUUACUUCUCAUUGGAUUCAUAUGACGUUCAACAAAAUGCUGGCAUCCGCUUAGUUGCAAACAAGUUGAUUGUACAUUCCACCUGAUAAUUUGGAUCCCAGAUUUGACUUAACUGUUUAUGAGAUUUCACAAGAAAAUCGCUGUGAAAUCUGUCUAGGGUGAGAAUGUACCAACUGAGUAACUUUUGUGCCUUUUUGCUUCAACAAGAUAAAGACAGGAGUAAGAUUUGCGUAUACUCUAAUUUCAUCAGGUAUAUAGUUGUUGUUGAGCAACUUUUGUCUCUUAGCACCACUUGCAUGUGGGAAGUGGAUGAUGUUUCAAUUAUAAUACUACUACUACUACACCAUAAUUUAACUUUUCUCACCUUGUUGUCUAAUAAAAUAUAAUACAAACAUCUUUUCCUAAUUUGGAUUAGCUUUUACUUGUUUUGUUAAUUCAGCUCUUAAUUUUUCAUUUUAUGGAAUUAUGUCAUGUAUAAGUGUGAGACAUAAUAUGUGGUGCUCUGAUUGUUUUGUAACUUUUGUCUCUCAAAC